AUGUCAAGAGAGGCUCAGUUCAUGGAAAGGUUUCUAAAAAAGAGGAGAACCUCGGUGCAAGAUGAAAAUGUUGGUCCGUCACACGAAAAUAAUCAGAAUGAUGGCUCGGUCCCGACACAAUCGGAUAGACAAAUUGAUGCCUCAACACAUGAACAGAUUGAUGUUCCGACCCCGCCAUCAUCACAUGGACAAAAUGAUGCCUCCACACAUGAACCUAGUUCUGCUAAUACUACAAGAAAUUCCUUUGAAGUUGAAGAGCUCAAUUGGGAAGAAGAAAUUCAAUUUGAUCCAGGUAAAAGGAGAAGCAUAGAUGAGUACCAUCCGAAUCAGAGAGAUAUGGUAAGAAGGAAGUAUUUGGCCAAUGGCCCUUCUCAACCUCGUACUGCAGAUUUUGAAGUGACAGAAAUAUGUGGUAAAGAUAGAAGGUUCGUUCGGGAAUGGUUUGAUGAGUUUGAGAGCUGGCUUGAGUAUAGUGAGUCCAAACGAAAAGCAUAUUGUUUUUGUUGUUUCUUGUUUAGACCGCGCAAGAAGAAAGAAGCUGGAUAUGAUGCAUUUGUUGCAAAUGGUUGGUCAAGUUGGAAUAAGAAAUAUAGAUUAAGGGAGCAUGUAGGAGACAUCAAUAGUGCUCACAACCAAGCAAAAAGAGAUUGUGAUGCUUUGCUGAAACAAAAGCAACACAUUUAUGUUGCUCUAAACAACCAAAGUAACGCUGAGAGGAAUGCUUAUUAUACUCGACUAAAUGCCUCAAUUGAUGUUACUAGAGUGUUACUGAAGCAAGGGUUGCCUUUCCGUGGCCACGAUGAAUCUGACGAGUCUCUCAAUAAAGGCAAUUUCAAGGAAUUUCAUGCUUAUACAGCGGAGCAGAAUCCAGAGGUAAAAAAAGUUGUGGCCCAUAAUGCUCCAGGUAAUAAUCAGUUGACUUCUUCAAAGAUUCAGAAGGACAUAGUUGAAUGUUUUGCAAAGGAGAUAUUGCAUUCUGUUCUUCGGGAAAUUGGCAAUGAUGUAUUUUCUUUGCUGGUUGAUGAGUCAAGGGAUGUGGCUGGUAAAGAGCAAAUGGCGGUGGUGUUGCGGUAUGUUGGUAAAUGUGGAAGUGCCAUAGAGACAUUAGUUGGCCUUACUCAUGUGAAGGAGACAACUUCCAAGUAUCUCAAGUCUACCAUUGAUAAUUUAUUUGCAGAAUAUAAGUUAAGUUUCAAGCAAGUUAGAGGGCAAGGAUAUGAUGGUGCGAGCAAUAUGAGAGGUGAGUUUAAUGGCUUGCAAUCCUUAAUCAUGAGAGAGAAUAGCACAACAUAUUAUGUUCACUGUUUUGCACAUCAGCUUCAGUUAGUUGUUGUGGCUGUUGUUCGGAAGCACAAAUGCAUUGGUAAUUUUUUUGAUAUGAUCUCAUUCUUGUUGAAUGUGGUCUCUGGAUCUUCAAAGAGAAAGGACUUGAUUCGAGACAAAUAUAAAGAACAAGUGUGUGAAGCUUUAGGUUGUGGACUACUAAAAAGUGGUACAUGA
rnacentral:rRNA from 1 species